CAGUAGCCGCGGUAAUACGAAGGGUGCAAGCGUUAAUCGGAAUUACUGGGCGUAAAGCGUGCGCAGGUGGUUGAUUAAGUUAUCUGUGAAAUCCCUGGGCUCAACCUGGGCAGGUCAGAUAAUACUGGUUAACUCGAGUAUGGGAGAGGGUAGUGGAAUUUCCGGUGUAGCGGUGAAAUGCGUAGAGAUCGGAAGGAACACCAGUGGCGAAGGCGGCUACCUGGCCUAAUACUGACACUGAGGCACGAAAGCGUGGGGAGCAAACAGGAUUAGAGACCCCUGUAGUCCCUGUCUCUUAUAA
rnacentral:rRNA from 1 species